rfam:Enterococcus hirae ATCC 9790, complete genome.
UUUUAUGAGAGUUUGAUCCUGGCUCAGGACGAACGCUGGCGGCGUGCCUAAUACAUGCAAGUCGAACGCUUCUUUUUCCACCGGAGCUUGCUCCACCGGAAAAAGAGGAGUGGCGAACGGGUGAGUAACACGUGGGUAACCUGCCCAUCAGAAGGGGAUAACACUUGGAAACAGGUGCUAAUACCGUAUAACAAUCGAAACCGCAUGGUUUUGAUUUGAAAGGCGCUUUCGGGUGUCGCUGAUGGAUGGACCCGCGGUGCAUUAGCUAGUUGGUGAGGUAACGGCUCACCAAGGCGACGAUGCAUAGCCGACCUGAGAGGGUGAUCGGCCACAUUGGGACUGAGACACGGCCCAAACUCCUACGGGAGGCAGCAGUAGGGAAUCUUCGGCAAUGGACGAAAGUCUGACCGAGCAACGCCGCGUGAGUGAAGAAGGUUUUCGGAUCGUAAAACUCUGUUGUUAGAGAAGAACAAGGAUGAGAGUAACUGUUCAUCCCUUGACGGUAUCUAACCAGAAAGCCACGGCUAACUACGUGCCAGCAGCCGCGGUAAUACGUAGGUGGCAAGCGUUGUCCGGAUUUAUUGGGCGUAAAGCGAGCGCAGGCGGUUUCUUAAGUCUGAUGUGAAAGCCCCCGGCUCAACCGGGGAGGGUCAUUGGAAACUGGGAGACUUGAGUGCAGAAGAGGAGAGUGGAAUUCCAUGUGUAGCGGUGAAAUGCGUAGAUAUAUGGAGGAACACCAGUGGCGAAGGCGGCUCUCUGGUCUGUAACUGACGCUGAGGCUCGAAAGCGUGGGGAGCAAACAGGAUUAGAUACCCUGGUAGUCCACGCCGUAAACGAUGAGUGCUAAGUGUUGGAGGGUUUCCGCCCUUCAGUGCUGCAGCUAACGCAUUAAGCACUCCGCCUGGGGAGUACGACCGCAAGGUUGAAACUCAAAGGAAUUGACGGGGGCCCGCACAAGCGGUGGAGCAUGUGGUUUAAUUCGAAGCAACGCGAAGAACCUUACCAGGUCUUGACAUCCUUUGACCACUCUAGAGAUAGAGCUUCCCCUUCGGGGGCAAAGUGACAGGUGGUGCAUGGUUGUCGUCAGCUCGUGUCGUGAGAUGUUGGGUUAAGUCCCGCAACGAGCGCAACCCUUAUUGUUAGUUGCCAUCAUUUAGUUGGGCACUCUAGCAAGACUGCCGGUGACAAACCGGAGGAAGGUGGGGAUGACGUCAAAUCAUCAUGCCCCUUAUGACCUGGGCUACACACGUGCUACAAUGGGAAGUACAACGAGUCGCAAAGUCGCGAGGCUAAGCUAAUCUCUUAAAGCUUCUCUCAGUUCGGAUUGUAGGCUGCAACUCGCCUACAUGAAGCCGGAAUCGCUAGUAAUCGCGGAUCAGCACGCCGCGGUGAAUACGUUCCCGGGCCUUGUACACACCGCCCGUCACACCACGAGAGUUUGUAACACCCGAAGUCGGUGAGGUAACCUUUUGGAGCCAGCCGCCUAAGGUGGGAUAGAUGAUUGGGGUGAAGUCGUAACAAGGUAGCCGUAUCGGAAGGUGCGGCUGGAUCACCUCCUUU